UACGUAGGGAGCAAGCGUUGUUCGGAUUUACUGGGCGUAAAGGGCGCGUAGGCGGCGUGUCAAGUCGAUUGUGAAAUCUCCGGGCUUAACUCGGAACGGCCAAUCGAUACUGACGUGCUAGAGUGCAGAAAGGGAGCAAUCGGAAGUUCUUGGAUGUGAGCGGUGAAAUGACGUAGAUAUCAAGAGGAACACCGGUGGCGAAGGCGGGUCUCUGGGCCGAUACUGACGCUGAGGAGCGAAAGCGUGGGGAGCGAACAGG
rnacentral:rRNA from 1 species